CCUUAGUAACGGCGAGUGAAGCGGCAAAAGCUCAAAUUUGAAAUCUGGUACCUUCGGUGCCCGAGUUGUAAUUUGGAGAGGGCAACUUUGGGGCCGUUCCUUGUCUAUGUUCCUUGGAACAGGACGUCAUAGAGGGUGAGAAUCCCGUGUGGCGAGGAGUGCGGUUCUUUGUAAAGUGCCUUCGAAGAGUCGAGUUGUUUGGGAAUGCAGCUCUAAGUGGGUGGUAAAUUCCAUCUAAAGCUAAAUAUUGGCGAGAGACCGAUAGCGAACAAGUACAGUGAUGGAAAGAUGAAAAGAACUUUGAAAAGAGAGUGAAAAAGUACGUGAAAUUGUUGAAAGGGAAGGGCAUUUGAUCAGACAUGGUGUUUUGUGCCCUCUGCUCCUUGUGGGUAGGGGAAUCUCGCAUUUCACUGGGCCAGCAUCAGUUUUGGUGGCAGGAUAAAUCCAUAGGAAUGUAGCUUGCCUCGGUAAGUAUUAUAGCCUGUGGGAAUACUGCCAGCUGGGACUGAGGACUGCGACGUAAGUCAAGGAUGCUG
rnacentral:rRNA from 1 species